rnacentral:rRNA from 1 species
GACGAACGUUGGCGGCGUGCCUAAUACAUGCAAGUAGAACGCUGAAGAGAGGAGCUUGCUCUUCUUGGAUGAGUUGCGAACGGGUGAGUAACGCGUAGGUAACCUGCCUUGUAGCGGGGGAUAACUAUUGGAAACGAUAGCUAAUACCGCAUAACAAUGGAUGACCCAUGUCAUUUAUUUGAAAGGGGCAAAUGCUCCACUACAAGAUGGACCUGCGUUGUAUUAGCUAGUAGGUGAGGUAACGGCUCACCUAGGCGACGAUACAUAGCCGACCUGAGAGGGUGAUCGGCCACACUGGGACUGAGACACGGCCCAGACUCCUACGGGAGGCAGCAGUAGGGAAUCUUCGGCAAUGGGGGCAACCCUGACCGAGCAACGCCGCGUGAGUGAAGAAGGUUUUCGGAUCGUAAAGCUCUGUUGUAAGUCAAGAACGAGUGUGAGAGUGGAAAGUUCACACUGUGACGGUAGCUUACCAGAAAGGGACGGCUAACUACGUGCCAGCAGCCGCGGUAAUACGUAGGUCCCGAGCGUUGUCCGGGUUUAUUGGGCGUAAAGCGAGCGCAGGCGGUCUGAUAAGUCUGAAGUUAAAGGCUGUGGCUCAACCAUAGUUCGCUUUGGAAACUGUCAAACUUGAGUGCAGAAGGGGAGAGUGGAAUUCCAUGUGUAGCGGUGAAAUGCGUAGAUAUAUGGAGGAACACCGGUGGCGAAAGCGGCUCUCUGGUCUGUAACUGACGCUGAGGCUCGAAAGCGUGGGGAGCGAACAGGAUUAGAUACCCUGGUAGUCCACGCCGUAAACGAUGAGUGCUAGGUGUUGGAUCCUUUCCGGGAUUCAGUGCCGCAGCUAACGCAUUAAGCACUCCGCCUGGGGAGUACGACCGCAAGGUUGAAACUCAAAGGAAUUGACGGGGGCCCGCACAAGCGGUGGAGCAUGUGGUUUAAUUCGAAGCAACGCGAAGAACCUUACCAGGUCUUGACAUCCCGAUGCUAUUUCUAGAGAUAGAAAGUUACUUCGGUACAUCGGUGACAGGUGGUGCAUGGUUGUCGUCAGCUCGUGUCGUGAGAUGUUGGGUUAAGUCCCGCAACGAGCGCAACCCCUAUUGUUAGUUGCCAUCAUUCAGUUGGGCACUCUAGCGAGACUGCCGGUAAUAAACCGGAGGAAGGUGGGGAUGACGUCAAAUCAUCAUGCCCCUUAUGACCUGGGCUACACACGUGCUACAAUGGUUGGUACAACGAGUUGCGAGUCGGUGACGGCAAGCUAAUCUCUUAAAGCCAAUCUCAGUUCGGAUUGUAGGCUGCAACUCGCCUACAUGAAGUCGGAAUCGCUAGUAAUCGCGGAUCAGCACGCCGCGGUGAAUACGUUCCCGGGCCU